AACGAACGCUGGCGGCAGGCCUAACACAUGCAAGUCGAGCGAGAAGCUACCUUCGGGUAGUGGAAAGUGGCAGACGGGUGAGUAACGCGUGGGAACGUGCCUUUCGGUUCGGAAUAACUCAGGGAAACUUGGGCUAAUACCGAAUACGCCCUUCGGGGAAAGAUUUAUCGCCGAAAGAUCGGCCCGCGUCAGAUUAGCUUGUUGGUGAGGUAAUGGCUCACCAAGGCGACGAUCUGUAGCUGGUCUGAGAGGAUGAUCAGCCACACUGGGACUGAGACACGGCCCAGACUCCUACGGGAGGCAGCAGUGGGGGAAUAUUGGACAAUGGGCGAAAGCCUGAUCCAGCCAUGCCGCGUGGUGAAGAAGGCCC
rnacentral:rRNA from 1 species